ensembl:lincRNA
CAGGAGAUCCAUACCAACUUCUCCAAGGGGAUGGGGCUGCCCUGAUGCCUCCAGUGCCCUCGGACCCACCCAGGGGCCCCUUUGGUGAGCUGGAGGGACCCUGAGGGAGGUAGGAAUUGAGACAGGGACUGGAGGGCUAGAAGCCUCAGUGACUGAGGAAAAGGGAGGCCAUUAUACCAGAGAGGUCCUCUAGUAACCCACUCUCUCCAGGCAAAUGGCAGGAUUACUACACCUGGCGAGGCCUCAGUCUCGACUCCCCCAUGGCCGUGCUUCUCACCUACCCGCUGACUGUGUAUUACAUCAUCACACACCUGGUGCCCCAGUCCUGUAAGAAAUACAAAGCAUGAUGGGGGAUGCAGGGAGGGGGAGUGAGGGAGACCAUAAUCUUAAAGAGCUGGCCUCUUGCCAGUCCCUGAGCUCAACAUCCAGAACAAGCAGUCACUGAAGAUCCACGUGAUAGAGGCAGGGAAGGAGUUUGACCUUGUCAUGGUGUUUUGGGUAAGUCUCUCCAUGCCUGGAAACUGGACACUGGGUGAGAGUGGGCAUAGGGUGGGACCCAGACAUGCUCUUCUUCCUGUCCUUUAGGAGCUCUUGGUCCUGCUCCCCCAUGUGGCCCUGGAGCUGCAGUUUGUGGGUGAUGGCCUGCCCCUUGAGAACGACCAGCAGCAUUUUACCCUGCAGAGGGAUGGCCCUGAGGUAUCUGUUCAUUCUACUUCUGGGGUAUCAGCACGGUUCAGCUCUGGGACUAAGGAGAAGGGGGGCCGCAGGGACCUGCAGAUCAAGGUGUCAGCUAGGCCCUACCACUUGCUCCAGGGACCCAAGCCUGACCUGGUCAUCGGUAAGAGUCCGAGGCUCAAGGGCA